rnacentral:lncRNA from 1 species
GGACUCGAAUCCCGUUGCCGACUCGCGCUCUCGGCUUCUGCUCCGGGGCUUCUUCCCUGCCCGCCCGGGGCCCUGACCGUGGCUUCUUCCCCGGCCUGAUCUGCGCAGCCCGGCGGGCGCCCAGAAGGAGCAGGCGGCGCGGGGGCGCGCUGGGCGGGGGAGGCGUGGCCGGAGCUGCGGCGGCAAGCGGGCUGGGACUGCUCGGCCGCCUCCUGCCCGGCGAGCAGCUCAGACCAUGUCGCCUGAAGAAUGGACGUAUCUAGUGGUUCUUCUUAUCUCCAUCCCCAUCGGCUUCCUCUUUAAGAAAGCCGGUCCUGGGCUGAAGAGAUGGGGAGCAGCCGCUGUGGGCCUGGGGCUCACCCUGUUCACCUGUGGCCCCCACACUUUGCAUUCUCUGGUCACCAUCCUCGGGACCUGGGCCCUCAUUCAGGCCCAGCCCUGUGCGCCUCCUGCUUUUGCCCAGCU